rnacentral:rRNA from 1 species
UACAGAGGGUGCGAGCGUUGUCCGGAAUCACUGGGCGUAAAGGGCGCGUAGGCGGCUUCUUAAGCGUGUGGUGAAAGCGCGGGGCUCAACCCCGCGUCGGCCGUGCGAACUGGGGAGCUGGAGCACGUCAGAGGCAGGCGGAAUUCCGGGUGUAGCGGUGGAAUGCGUAGAGAUCCGGAAGAACACCGGUGGCGAAGGCGGCCUGCUGGGCAGUUGCUGACACUGAGGCGCGACAGCGUGGGGAGCAAACAGG